GGGAUCCAUACCUUAUGCUUGUCUCAGAACAUUCCCAUUGGCCUCAUUAGGGCACUGAUUUUGUUCUCAUCAAACUGACUUCUCAGUAGCUUGGAUGUUACUUUGCAGAGGCCUAUUCUCCUCUAUAAUCGUCACAAUCUCCUACUUACAUGCAUGGCUCGUUUAAACCUGGAGACCACUCCACCAAGUGGCUAUAGCAUCAUCUGUCAUGGACAUCUGUUGCUGCUGGCUUGGCAUCCAUCACCCCCUUUCCAGGCAAUAGCAUUUUGUCUUUUGGGGAACCACUCCCCAUUCUCAGCUCUAGUGGGGCUCAUCCCAUCGCUCUUAUUCCAGGGCCUGGCCAAUCAGAAUAUGAUUAUCUCCUGGCUUCAAUGAUUGGUCCAGGUAUCGUCAUAUGAUCCAAGCAAGGUCAAUGAGAAUUAUUCCAGAACUUGCAUGAAAAAGAACUUUUUUUGCUCUGUGGCUCUUUAGGGUGUUGGAUGUAAUCUUGAUGUGCUGCCCCGAGGGGUCCUAUGAUUUAAGAAGAAUGAAGCAAUGCAGAGAGUUAGAAUUAAGAGGUUUAAGAGAGCGUCUGUGACUUGGCUACUUUGUUUGUGUGCCUCAACUGUAAUUCAGAUACCUGAGUCAGAAAAAACUCCCUUUUAAUGCAAAUGCUUCUUUGAGUUGGGUUUUCUGUCACUUGCAAGUGACAGAUUAGGAUAUAGCCUCAUUCAAGAGGACAUUGAGGCUCACAGAAGUGAAAUAACCUGCCCAGGAUACCCAGUUACUCCAGCGUGAUCCCAUUUCUUUUGGCUGCAAAGACUGUUUCUUCCACUAUUCCAUGCUGACUUUAAAUACAUUUGUGACACAUUUCACAAUAUGCAGAGUACUUUCACAUGACUUAUGCUGCACAGUAAUUUGCUGUUCCCAGCACAGGGCUAAUUUUUUCGGGGGUCUUUUUUAGGGCCACACCCACUGCAUAUGAAGGUUCCUAGGCUAGAGAUCUAAUUGGAGCUACAGCUGCCAGCCUACACCACAGCCACAGCAAAGUGGGAUCUGAGCCGUGUCUGUGACCUACACCAGUAGAGAAACCAGUAACCCAGUGAAGAAAAUCUUUUCUUAGCAGUAGAUUUCUACCCUUAGCACUCCACAUCCCUCCUCAUUUCAGGAGACCCAUGUGAUGUGUGAACACCUGAUCAACUGCUUGAGGUAGAGGUGAAGAUGAGUUCCUAAGCAUUAAGCUUGAAGAUCAAUAGAUAGGUGGUUCUAUCUAACUAACAACCAGGCUCAUAUUUGGUUGAGUGGGUUGGCACUCUAAGGCUGAGAACUGAAUAUCUUUGGGACAAUAGAGCAUAUUUUUUUAGAGGCUGAGAAAAAGGAAGAGGAAGAGAAGGAACAAAGAUAAACUGGCCAGCAGGGGAGAAGACUGAGGGGAAAGAAAAAAAAAUUUAAAGAGACUUUUAUGAAAUUUUGUCAUAUUGUGUGCAGUAUAAACUUUCCCUCCUGCCUUCCCAAGAAGUCUCCAGUAAAACAGACUUUUCUUAUUAAUGUGUUGUGUAGUUUAAUUUCUUUUGAGAAUGCAUUGAAAUGCUGAGUCCUAGUUCAAGGUGGGCAUGUGGGCACAAAACUUGCUCACUUGCCACAUCUGGGACACAUAUUUUUUGGAGCAUCUACCAUGUGCCAGGUACAAUACCAAGCACUGAGGUUACGGAAGACUAGACAUGGUCUUAGCUCCUAAGAAAUGUACAGUCUUUUGGCAGAGCAUGUAUGGAAAUAGUUACAGUGGAAAACUUCAAUCUGGGAGGCCAAAGAGCAGAGUUGUUCUAAAAGGAUAUUAAAAGUGAUCAUUUACUUAAAGACAGACGUGUAGCCAAUGGAAUAAAGAGCCCAGGAAUAAACUCUCACAUAUACGGUCAAAUGAUUUUCAACUAGAAUGCCAAUACCAUUCAAUGGGGAAAGGAUGGUCUUUUCAACAAAUAGUUUUGGGAAAACUGUUUAUAGACAUGCAAAUGAAUGAAAUUGGAUUCUUAUCUUACACCAUAUGAAAAAAAAUUACCUUGAAAUGGAUUAAAGAUUUAAAUGUAAGAGCUAAAACUAUAAAACUCUUAAAAGAAAAAAAUGGGAAAACUUCAUGACAUUGAAUUUGGCAAUGAUUUCUUGAUAUACAACGAAAGCACAGGAAACAAAAGAAGAAAUAAAUAGGACUACAUCUAAAUUAAAACUUCUGUGCAACAAAGGACACACUAACAGAGUGAAAAGGCAACCAACAGAAUGAGAGAAAAUAUUUGCAAAUUACCUAUCUGAUAUGGGGUUAAUAUCCAGAAUACAUAAAGAACUCCUACAACUCAACCGCAAAAAACAAACACCCUGAUUGAAAAUGGGUGCAGGACAUUUCUCAAGAGAGGAGAAACAAGUGGCCAAUAAGCACAUGAACAGAUGUUCAGCAUCACAAAUCACUAGAGAAAUGUAAAUCAAAACCCAAGAUAAGAUACUGUUUCAUAUCCAUUAGAUGGCCACUAUCAAAACAGAAAAUGAAUUUUUUUUUUUUUGUCUUUUGUUGUUGUUGUUGCUAUUUCUUGGGCCGCUCCCGUGGCAUAUGGAGGUUCCCAGGCUAGGGGUUGAAUCGGAGCUGUAGCCACCGGCCUACGCCAGAGCCACAGCAAUGCGGGAUCCGAGCCGCGUCUGCAACCUACACGGCAGCUCACGGCAAUGCUGGAUCGUUAACCCACUGAGCAAGGGCAGGGACCGAACCCGCAACCUCAUGGUUCCUAGUCGGAUUCGUUAACCACUGCGCCACGACGGGAACUCCAGAAAAUGAAUUGUUAAUGAGAAUGUGGAGAAAUUGGAACCCUUGUCCACGUUUAUUGGAAAUGUAGAAUGGUAAAGCCAUUGUGGAAAACAGUAUGGCAGUUACUUAAAAGAGUAAAAAUAGAAUUACCAUAAGUGUCCAUCAAUAAUGAGUGGAUAAACAUAAUGCGGUAUAUCCAAACUAUGGAAUAUUAUGUAGGCUUAAAAAAAGAAUGCACUUCUGACAUAUGCUACUGCAUGGAUGAACCUUGAGACAUUAUGCUAAAUGAAAUGUCCUAGUCACAAAAGGGCAAAUGCUAUUUGAUUCCACUUAUAUAAGAGACCUAGAGUAGUCAAAAUCAGAGACAGAAUGUAGAAAGAAGUUUCUAGGAGCUGGGGAGUUUAAUGGGUGCAGGGUUUCAGUUUGAGAUGAUGAAAAUUUUCCUGAGAUGGAUGGUGGUGAUGGUUGUACAACAGUGUGAAUAUACUUAAUGUCACUGAACUAUACAUUGAAAAAUGGUUAAGAUGGUCAAUCAUAUGUGUGUGUGUGUUUUUUUUUUUUUUUUUUUUACCAUGGUCAGGAUUUUUUUUUUUUGGCCAUGCCAUGCCACGUGGAAGUUCCUGGGUUAGGGAUCAAACCCAUGCCACAGUAGCAACCUGAGCUACUGCGGUGCCAACACCAGACCCUUAACCUGCUGUGCCACAAGGGAACUCCAGAUUUUUUUUUAAGUAAAAAAAAAGUGAUCACAUUUAAAAAUCACACCAGUGUAAAGACUGAGAACAUUUUGUACCAUGAAGAAAUAGUGUGAUCCAGUGGACUGUGGAUAACUGGUGAUGGCUCCCCAAAGGCAGGCUGUCAUAGACGAUGGCCGUGGCAUUCAUUGCUGUGGACCUGUGGCUGUAGAAAUUUUGACAGUUUUUGGACAUUUAUCUAUUGUGGCAUGUAAAAAUGUAAACUUAAAUUUUUUUUUUUGUCUUUCUGUCUUUUUGUCUUUUUUGUUGUUGUUGUUGUUGUUGCUAUUUCUUGGGCCGCUCCCGUGGCAUAUGGAGGUUCCCAGGCUAGGGGUCAAAUUAAAGCUGUAGCCGCCAGCCUACACCACAGCCACAGCAACAUCAGAUCUGAGCCACGUCUUCAACCUACACCACAGCUCAUGGCAUCGCUGGAUCCUUAACCCACUGAGCAAGGCCAGGGAUUGAACCCGCAACCUUAUGGUUACUGGUUGGAUUUGUUUCCUCUGUGCCACAAUGGGAAUUCCAAUUAGAGAUGUUGAGAGCCCUUUUCAUUUAUCUGUUGGCCAUUUGUAUGUCUUCUUUGGAAAAAUGUCUGUUUAGGCACUUUGUCCUUUUUAAAUUGGAUUAUUUAUUUUUUGCUAUUUAGUUAUCUGAUUCUUUAUGUGUUUUGGAUCUUAACCCCUUAUCAGAUGAUUUGCAAAUAUUUUCUCCCAUUCUGUUGGUGGCCUUUUCAUUUUGUCGAUGGUUUCCUUUGUUGUGCAGAAGUGCUUUUUUAGUUCUCUUAUUUUGUUGAUUGCACUUUAGGUGUCAUAUCCAAGAAAUCAUUGCCAAGAUUCUGAUUUUUAUCAUCAUGGAGUAGUUUUGUCUGUCCUGUGAAAGGAAGCAUAGAGGAUUGACUCAUUUGAUACAUGCAUGUUUAAAAAAUAGAAAAAAACCCAGGAGUUCCCAUUAUAGAUCAAUGGGUUGAGAACCUGCUAUCUCUUUGAGGAUGCAGUUUGGAUCCCUGGCCUUGCUCAGUGGGUUAAGGCACUGGUGUUGCUGCAAGCUGUGGCAUAGGUCUCAGAUGCAGCUUGGAUCUCGUAUUGCUGUGGUUGUGGUGUAGGCCUCAGCUGCAGCUCCG
rnacentral:lncRNA from 1 species